rnacentral:tRNA from 1 species
GCCUCGGAAGCUAACUCGGUAGAAGCGGCGGACUGAAAAUCCGCAGGAACUGGUUCGACACCAGUCUGGGGCACCA